rnacentral:lncRNA from 1 species
GGGGACUUGGGUUCUGGACGUUCUGUGAGAGAUUUAAAACAAAAUGUUUCCACUAGCUUUCUCUCCCCCCCAAAAUCAGGCUGAGCCUUGGAAGGAUGAGUCUAUGUUAGCAGCAGUAAGAACCACAUUCACUAUCACAGCCAGCAAUUUAUUUUUCUCAUAUUAAAUGAGCCUUUUGUUCCAGAGAAGGUAGAUCUCACUUACAUGCCUGUACAAAAGUGAAAUGCAAGCUCAAGCUGAAAGCAUCUAUACUGCAAAGUUCUUUGGAUUGUGGAAACAUACAACAUCUCUGGAGAAUCUGCUGACAACCGGUGGAAAACCACUCUUCUCAUAGUACAAAGUGGCAAUUAGUAUAGCUAGCCUAGGUACCUCAACAUCAUGCAUCCUCUCCAGCAACAUCAUACUAGCAAGUCCCUGCUCCAAACACAUCUGAUAGCAACGGGCUGGAUUUGUCAGAUCAUUUCCAUUAAAAGAAACGUGGUGGUGCAGCUAUUUCAGUGAUGGAUGCUGGCAAGACUUGUACCUUCACUACGGGGCUUCCUUCUGCUUGCUGGGGCUCUGCAGCGCAGAUAAGCACCAGGAAAGGAGUAAGGUCUGAUCACCAAAAAAAGUAACACUUUCUGCUAGAUAUUAACCGCAGAGCAAUGAAAUGUUCCCCAUCUGUUAUCCAGUUGUAACAGACCACCACAGCAUGCAGCAGCUUUAAAAAAAAAAAGAAAGAAAAAGAAAAAAAAAGGUGAGAGCUAAUUACAGUCACUGACAGCACGUUGUGAAGGAGAGGAGAUUCCCCUGGCACCUGGUGGCAAGGUGAUGCUGGUUGCAAGCCCUAAGCAUUCCUGAAGAUCUACUCAGAAAGAAAACAGCCAUCAGAGUGCUGCCCUUGGCCUCACUGGAAGCACAGAAAUGACCCGGGGUUGAAAAGGCCAGAAGUGUCUCUGGAGGCUCUUGGAGGCAGUGCGGGGAGUGUCGGCAGCACAGCGCUCUGUGCCCCAGUGCUCCAUGGAAGCCAACAGAUGAAAGAUCUGAAGGAGAAAGAAGACAAUCUCUCAAUUUUAGAAGGAAACAUAAGAAGCUGCAGAAGUACCAAAGGAGGACUUCUCCGCAGAGCAUGUUGCUGUUACUUAACAAGUCUCCCAUGCCACACUGAUGCUGGGGGCACCAUGGUUCCUGCACGUUGUCACCAAGAUGGAGCUAGGGGACCCACUGUGACACUUCCUGAUAAGACAAUAAUGAGAGAUUUAGGCAGUCUGUUCACAGAGGCUGCUGUCUGGCUCCUGAGGCACAGAAAGCAUUGAAAGGGAGCAGUCGGUAUAGCACACCUUUUCCUCAUUUAUCUGAAUACUGAGCCAGAAGUUGUACUGCCCUGGAGAAAAGGCAAUUCAAAUUGCUUUCUUUAUGAUAUCUGAAGCCAUCUGUGGCUUAGGCUGUUCCGAAUACAGCCUUUGGACAUCCUGCAUCUGUCCGUACAAAGCAAAUCCAACCACGCCUGGGAGCUGGGGCAUGACUGCCCGUACUGCUGAGCUGCUAAUACUCCUCCCCAGCGUGCUUUUGGCUGUCUUGCUCUGUCACAUGAUUCCCAACAAUGUUGUGCCAACAAAACCUUCCAGCACUUGCUCCUGGGAGGAGGUGUGUAUGUGGUGGCCCCUGUUUGGUGGCUGAGGAAUCUCAUAGCGUUAACACGCCCACUCCUUGCCAGCUGGCCUACAUGCAUGACAGCACUCCUGGGCACGUUUAACUGCUGCUACAGAUGCCAUUUCAAACAUUUAAUGUUUUCAUUCCACGUGUAGGUGAAGAUCCAGGAUUGCUUCAGGAGUUCCAAACACAGCAUCAAAUGGGAGAAACCUUUGCUUCUAAGUUUUUUGCCUUUAAUAAACUCUCACUUUAUUCAUUUGAAGUGUUGUUCCUCUCAGGAAGAGUUGCCUUCACUAAUUGCCAGACAUCUGAGAGUAACUUGGAAUAGCAUGUUUAAAGUAACAUAUGUGACUCCUCAUUUUUUCUGCUUUCCACCACUUAAGCUAUACUCAUUUGUAAAGAUGCAUUUCUAGAGUUAAUUCAUUCAUAAUUCAAAGUGAAAAUCUUUUUUCAUAUUCUUUCCAGCUGUAGACUUCCACCUCUGAAAUACAGCCCAUUCAUAUUUAAAAUAAGAAGUCUCCCUUCUCUAAGUGUUGCCUUUGUGGAUGCAGUUUCUCAAAUCAAUUGCUAUUAUUUUUGUAUAUUUUUUCAAUUGACAUAAGAUCACACCUGCCUUAUUGAUCGAUACGAUACUUUACGCAGCAAAUUUACUUUGAAAUAGCUAACAAGCAAGGAAAUACGGAUAUACAAGAGAUACUAAACGAAUGUUCUCUUUCUUUAUUACCUAUUCCUAUUUAUCUACUUCUUGGUUACUCUCUAUUUCACAUUUUUACACAAAAAAUAAAAUAAAAUAAAAUAAAAUAAAAUAAAAUAAAAUAAAAUAAAAUAAAACAAAACAAACUAUGGGAUUUGCUGUGGCUGUUUGUUUUGUUUGUUGGUAGUUUUUCUGAUAUUAUUAUUGUAAAUAGAGUCCAUUUUGAGUUACAUGUAUGUGAAGGAAAGAAUUUACCUACAUUUCAGCAACAUAAUUUAUUGUCCUGUUUUUUAUUAUAAUUUAUGAUGCAACUGUGGUUAAUGUUUUAGAUAGUGUCAACUGUAGACUUUCAAAAAUGGUUUCACGAUCACCCUAUUAUCAUACUGACCUUGAAAUAAUAAGAUUUUUUUAAAAAAAACAAUCAUUUAAAGUCUUUUUAUGUGUAUUCUGGUUUCUGAAACAUUAGGGGUCACAUUUUUGAGAUUUUUCUUUCUAACCACACCAGGAACUUUCUCUAAUAAGCUACAUAAACAAAGCUGAGACACUCUGCUGAUUGAAUGAAGAAUCAUAAAGUGGUGCUUGAAGAGUAAAAAAGAACUAUCAUGGGAGUUGUGUUUAAAAUCAGAGAGGCUGGCUGCAUUGUCUUUCCCACAUUGUGAGCCUUAAUGCAGACUUCCAACUCAGAAACAUUCAGCAACUGAAGUUUUCUUGAUUUUCAGAGAUACUGAACAACAAAAGUUCUCCUUGACAACAUAUGUCUAAUGCAUCCAAAAAUAAAGCUAUUUUAAGUAGCUAAGCUGGGCACCAUAACCUUCAAGUGAAAGCCCGUUAGGAAAGUAUAAGUGCAGUGACUAAUAUUUCUUUUAAGGCAGGACUACAAAUGAAGUGAGUACAAGCGAUGUGAAUUCUCUCUUCUAAGAUUUUGUUUGCACUGUAAUUAAUAUUGAUUACUGGCAGUUAAAACAGUUCCAGAACUUCUUUUCAUGUCAAAUAAGGCUUCCUGUUAAAUCACAACUUGGGAUUUGCCAAAUUUAUUCUGUCC